ensembl:lncRNA
CUGGACAGUCUGGGACUACAUGUAUGGUGGUGGGUAACGAGUGACCACCAAAGUGUGACUGGAUAGUCUGGGACUACAUGUAUGAGUGGUGGGUAACGAGUGACCACCAAAGUGUGACUGGAUAGUCUGGGACUACAUGUAUGAGUGGUGGGUAACGAGUGACCACCAAAGUGCGAAUGGAAAGCCAUAUGAUGUGAAUGUGAUGUACUAGGCAGGGCCAAGUGUUUAUGACGGAUAAUUAAAUUGACUAAUUGGACUUGAGACCGAUUUAGCCCUAUGGAGAGGGUCUCUCUAAGGUCCUAACAAAGCAUAGGUGUGUGUGAAGUACAUCGGGGAGUAAAGUCGGCGCACUGACUACCAAGUUUGAAUGAGACAUUAAGUUGUUCUAGAAACGUGAUCCGGUCGACACGUUAGUCAUAUGGAGUGAUUGUAUUUUUUAUUUUGUACAUUUGGUAUUGAAGUAAAGGUGAUAAUCCGGGGGACACUAGACUACUUAAUACCCCAGGGGACCCACAGUGCAUAAUUGAGUUCUUACUUUAGACCUAAUUGGGGGCCGAUUUUAGCCGUAUGGAAAGGGUACCACUUGGGUUUGAGUAAAGGCAUAGGUUGUUGACAGUAUUGUAGUGUACAUAAAAUGUCGUCGGAAAUAGAAAAGGUGUUGAAAACGCUGAAGUCCACUUUAGAAGUGAAUGAAGGCAGAGAGGGUAAGGAGUGGAAGAGACGGGGUGAGAAGCUGUGCAGAGAAUGGAUAGAAGGCGGGGCCAUUGCGUCUCCCACUGGUCUGCUUGCUGGGGUGAAUGAAGAUUUGUGUGUGUAUGGUGUAAAUUGAAGCUUACUGGCGUGAAUGAAGAUUUGUGAGACUCAAAUCGUGUGCAUGAAAUACGCUUGACUAAUAUCGGUAUGAAUGAGGUCGGGGACCAAGCGAGUGUGGCACAUUAGGUAUUUCAGUUGGAGCUGGUACCGGGGAGAAUGUUUAAAAAGUCGCAGGCUUGCUGAUGAGAUGUUUGCACAGAGUUAUAUCAUAGAAUAUUGAGGGGGUGUGCAUGACUGUUGGAAAAAGUGUUAAACUCUAUUAACGUAAAAUUCUGUGUGCAGAUUUAUAUUAUGAGGUUUGAACUAUACUAAUAUUGUAGAAUUACAUAAUCAACAUCUGAACAUACUUACGUUAAACAUUAAUUGAGCCACUGAGUAAUAGAUAAGAUAUACACUAGGUACGGGAGACGGUGCGACGGGUGUGGUCGAUGUAAGACGGGAGUGGUGUUCUAACCAAGUGCUGAGAAAUAAGGUAGAUUUAUUUUGUUCUUUUAAUUAAUUUACACAAGUACUUCCCGGUUAUUGAUUUUGGUUUGAUUGUUCAGAUAACACCAUAGAAAUUAAACAGGAGGUUAAGGUAUACUAACAUUAGAAUCUGUUUUCAUUAUGGGGAACAAUGAAAGGCCCGCAGAAUGGAUUGCAGGCUGAGUUUUUUUAUGUUAAAGGGACAGUAUACGUUUAUCACAGUUGUGUGUGUGUGUGUGUCUAAUGGCUGGGUAUUUAAGAAGUAUUUUGGGGAGACAAUUUGGAGAAACACGAAUAAAACAUGAAACAUCGAGACAAAUUAUUUGAGUUUGAGGGGAUUAUCAUAAUUAUUAGGUUUUGUUUUUGUAGUAAACAUUUGGGUUAAGGGGAUUUCCAUGUUCCCAGAGACAUGAUAUCUUAAAGGGGUACACUCACAUAUGGAAUAUUAUGAGUUUUAUUCUGAGUUUUAAUUACACAAGUGAAUUUUUUAAGAUAAAGGGUUCUUUAAUAUGUUUAAUAUGGUAUGGAACACGAAUGUAAGGGGAUGGUGUAACCUUUGACCUGCUUUCAUGGCUCUCUCGGGUGGUCUGAUCAGCCACAAGGGGGUGCCAUUUGAAUAAUUAAUUUGUGGUCAUGGGUAAUACUGUUUGUUUUUAUUUUUUUUAUUUUUUAAGGUAAAUUAAUUAUAGUGGAGUUUAAUUAACCUAUAUAAGGACUUUAGAAAUUGCCACCAUAGACAUGUUUUUCUAAAAAUAAAAAUAAAAUCCAUGAGUUUAGAUAAAGCCAAACAGUGAGACAUUUAGUUAAAAUUUGGAAACAUGAGAAAAAGAGCUACAGACAGAUAGGGGGAAAAGGCAGACAGAAGAGCCCUCCCCCCGCACUGCAGAGACCUUGAAGGUUGGAGAGCAGAGAGGAGAAGUUUUAGAAGGGGAGCCAGGACGAGCAAAGUUAACAGAAUGUGUACAUAACAGUUACUGAGUGGAGACAAAAGGAAGAAUUGGACAUGGGGAGAAUGAAAGGGGCGCUCCUACAUGAUAAUGUCAGAACAGAAGGAUAAUAUACUAAUCUUACCUAAGUCAUUAUUUAGAGUAGGUAAGGUUGUUACCUGGGCAGAGCCAGGUAUCAAAAGGGGGAUGGGUAAAUUGUGGUCUAGGAUAGGAUGGGGCCUAUUGGAUAAGAAACGAAUAAUAAAUAAAAAAAAUAGCUAACAAAUGGGCAUAGAAGUUAAAGAUAUAAUCAGAUAAAACAUAUGAGAAACUGUUUGUUAACCAAGCCUGUAUGUCCAGGUUUUUAUGCAUUACAGGUGAACUACAGGUGAAGUCACUCAAUCCAGUCCCAGAGGCUUGUUGGGGGGACCAUACCAAGGUCUCCUGGUGACAGCCAGCUGAAAGAGCUACCCGGAUUCAUAUCGCACGGCGGGAGGAAGUGAAGGUGUGUCUGGCUCUUGCUAAGUGAUGUGUUCUCAGGGAGAGGGUGGGGCUUCACAUGGAAGCUGUUCGUCUGAGCUGUCUUAUCGUGGGUGCCAUAUUCCUGAUACAGCACGUCCUACCUGAGUAUGCGGAGAGUGGUAAUUUGACCCAUGGUUUAGACGAUGAGGAUAUUGUUCCAAAACAAGCAUAAGAGAUCCCUAGAUCUGGGUAGACAGGAAGUUAGAGUAGAGGUUGGGAAGGAUCUCUCAAUGGAGUUUUAUGUAGACUAAAUGGGGUCUCUAACUACAUGGCAGUCUAGAACUCUGAGCCAUUAUGGCAUAUAUCGGUGCAGGUUCCCAUAUUGAUCGUGGACACAGGUAAUAGCUCGUUUGGAGAGAAAGGGAUAUAUGAAUCCACUCA